GAUGAACGCUGGCGGCGUGCCUAAUACAUGCAAGUCGAGCGAACAGACGAGGAGCUUGCUCCUCUGACGUUAGUGGCGGACGGGUGAGUAAAACGUGGAUAACCUACCUAUAAGACUGGGAUAACUUCGGGAAACCGGAGCUAAAACCGGAUAAUAUAUUGAACCGCAUGGUUCAUUAUUGAAAGACGGUUUUGCUGUCACUUAUAGAUGGAUCCGCGCCGCAUUAGCUAGUUGGUAAGGUAACGGCUUACCAAGGCAACGAUGCGUAGCCGACCUGAGAGGGUGAUCGGCCACACUGGAACUGAGACACGGUCCAGACUCCUACGGGAGGCAGCAGUAGGGAAUCUUCCGCAAUGGGCGAAAGCCUGACGGAGCAACGCCGCGUGAGUGAUGAAGGUCUUCGGAUCGUAAAACUCUGUUAUUAGGGAAGAACAAAUGUGUAAGUAACUAUGCACGUCUUGACGGUACCUAAUCAGAAAGCCACGGCUAACUACGUG
rnacentral:rRNA from 1 species